rnacentral:ncRNA from 1 species
CUCUGGCUCAGUAGAUGAACCAGGGCAAAGGAG